AAGUCGAACGAUGAGAGAGAGCUUGCUCUUUCGAUUAGUGGCGGACGGGUGCGUAACGCGUAGGAAUCUGCCUAUUAGUGGGGGACAACUUAGGGAAACUUAAGCUAAUACCGCAUACGCCCUACGGGGGAAAGGAGGGGAUCGCAAGACCUUUCGCUAAUAGAUGAGCCUGCGUAGGAUUAGCUAGUUGGUAGGGUAAAGGCCUACCAAGGCGACGAUCCUUAACUGGUUUGAGAGAAUGAUCAGUCACACUGGAACUGAGACACGGUCCAGACUCCUACGGGAGGCAGCAGUGGGGAAUAUUGGACAAUGGGCGAAAGCCUGAUCCAGCAAUACCGCGUGUGUGAAGAAGGCCUUAGGGUUGUAAAGCACUUUCAAUUGGAAGGAAAACCUCAUGGCUAAUAUCCAUGAGCUUGACAUUACCUUUAGAAGAAGCACCGGCUAACUCCGUGCCAGCAGCCGCGGUAAUACGGAGGGUGCAAGCGUUAAUCGGAAUUACUGGGCGUAAAGCGUGCGUAGGCGGCUCGUUAAGUCAGAUGUGAAAGCCCUGGGCUCAACCUGGGAACUGCAUUUGAAACUGGCGAGCUAGAGUUUGAGAGAGGUAAGUGGAAUUUCAGGUGUAGCGGUGAAAUGCGUAGAGAUCUGAAGGAACCACCAGUGGCGAAGGCGACUUACUGGCUUAAAACUGACCCUUAGGUCCAAAAGCGUNGGGUUAGCAAACAGGAUUAGAUACCCUGGUAGUCCACGCCGUAAACGAUGUNAACUAGCC
rnacentral:rRNA from 1 species